rnacentral:lncRNA from 1 species
CUUUCAGAGACACCUCCUCUGAGAUGUAACAUCUUCGAGUCAUUUUAGUUCAGGGACUAUUUAUUAAUGUACACUCAUGAUGAAUGCUGGCUGCCUCUAGAACAGGAGUCAAGGAGAUUAAAAGCUCCUGUCUCAUGAACCUACGCUGUGGUCCCAGUCCCUAGAGGGACAGAGAAACUACCUGAGCUUGAGGAGUGAAGGGGAGGCUACCUGAGUCUGGAUGGCAGCACGCAUCUUCAGAAAAGGGAAUCUGUCACUCAAAUUCCCAGGAAGAGAUAGCCAGAUCUUCAAAGGAGGCAGACAGUCAGUGUUCUGAAGGAACACUGUCUGGACACAUAGGACCACAGCCAGACACGUGUCCAUUGACCUUGUUGGAGCUUGAUUCUGUUGCUGAACUGGAGGGAUUUCAGGCUCAGAGCAAGUGUCACACCAACUGAUUGAAGCACAUGGAACUGACUGUAGCUUCUGUUGCGUCCAUUUGAAGGAACUCACUCUUCAGAUGCUGGAAUCAACGUUUCUACAGCCCACUUGGUGACAAGAGGUAGAUGCCACCUUGUGUGUGCUUGCUCCUGGAGUCUUAAUACAGGAAGGUAAAUACAGAUCUGCGUAAUGCACAUGGGCAUGGAGGGUGUCUGGGCCAGAGAUCAUGUCAGACACAACUCAACUAAAACAAGCCAGAUUUCUUGGAGAAGCAGCUCUUUGAGGCUCCUCUGGACAGCUAGAGCUGGGGUGUCUGUCCCACCUCCGGGGUGACAGACAGACAGAUAUGGGCAAGCAAGCUUCUGAUGGCCAGGAGCAGACAAUUUGAUCGUCAGAAUGUAACGGCAGCAAUUGCAACUCAACACAUCUGCUUAAGCCCAUGAGUUCUUAAUUAAACUGAAAAAUAAUUGGUGCCAGUGGAAGAUGCUAAUGAAUGAUUCAUUAUCUUAACAACUAGUAAAUAAAAAGAAGGGAUCGGAUACUUAUCCCGCCUCCCCAAUAUAAACUGCACAACUCGUAACCAGACUUAAAAUAUCAGGAAAAAUGUCUUCGUAGAGAUGUGUCCAGCUGGUAAGUGGAGGAGGGUGGUGGCCUUAGGGUCUGGCCUUGCUGAAACCCAAAAUGAAUUCACGAGUCUCUUGAGAUGCUGAGCAUAAGAACUUCUACAGUUACAAAAAGGGAACGGGGUGUCUCAGAACCGUUAGAAAGUCCAUCCCAAACAGAAUCUGAUUAGCCCCCAGAUCUGACUACAGCUCAAAGGAAAUGCAGAGGAGACUGCCAGACCAGUUGGAUGCAACAGAGAAAGUAAACUGUGAGCAUCUCACCGUGUGGAUAGAUGGCUGGUGGGCAGGUGGCGGCUCCCCCAGGAGUAAAUCACACGGACUGAGGAAGAGUGAAGGGUGGUGAGAGAGACCUGCAAAUCAAAUGUCAGGAAACAUUUGAAAUCACAGUCAUUCGAGUCAAACGUGAGUUACAAGGCAAAUUGAAAAACAAAACCUAUAUUGCCUCUAUAACAGUUAAUUGAGAAGUAAGCUGGUCUAUAAUUAGGUCUUUUAUGGUGUUAAUGACUUAGUUUAAUUUCCACAUAAUCCUAAUUUAAAAAAAGACUCCUUCUUUGAAGAUUCAUUCUUAAAUCUUUACAUACAACCUUAUACAUUCGGGACUUGCUGGUGGUGGGGUAUGGAAUAAGUAAGACUCUGAGAACUGCUAGUUGUUGGUGCUGGACAGAGGGUGUGAACCAGUUCAUAAGACCCCCCUUCGCUGUUGCAGAUUUGACAUGAGUUUUAAAAUGAAACACACACAUAUGCAUGUGCGCAGGAACACACAUGUCCGCAUACACAGGCACUCACAGGCUCACAUGCUCAGACACAGAUUACCUCCUCUGCUGAAACACAGAUUUUUUUUUCUGUGUCUGCAGCUUCCUUGAGUGUAUACAUGCUCACUAUAAAUAGACAUAGCUAUAUAGUCUGCUGUAUAAGUCCAGUCCUUAGGGAUAUGCUCUCAGAUAAUGAGACCCGUGUUAUAACUGCUCUCCCUGGUGGAGAUAGCACACUCAGGAGCCGGUGAGUAAAAACAUGAACCAGGAAGUUGGGCUACAAAGUUUAGGAAACUUUCGGAGGUUACAUUUUGACACGGCUCGGAUCUUGCCUUUAACAAUGACAGGAUGCUACACAAAAACACAGCGCUUCCUCCGGUGUGGCUCUUUAUCUUAUCUUGACAGAUUAUUGCUGGUUAAAUUGUAGCGCUGACUUAAAGGCAGGACUCUUCAAGGGAGUCAGAAAUUAAGGCUUCACCAAAUGGUAAUAAAGCUAUUAAAAAUGCAAACAGCAAACAGCUACCCUGUGCAGGUUAGACAGCUAAUCCAAACUAGCAGUUUAAAAAGCAGAGCAAUUACACUUUUAUUUAAAUGCAAGGAAUAUGAGCAAGAAUAGAAUGAGGAGCCUUGUUUAAAUGCAUUCUUUUGAAUAUUUAUUAGAAAUAAUACAUGGAGUUAAGCCACUUAUCUGAUUUCAGCGAACAAGUAAAAUGCAAAAGAUCAAUUUUCAUAAUUAUAGCAAAGAAGCCUGUCUUUCAUAAAAAUCUCAUUAAUAACACCAUUAUUACUGAAAAAAUAUCUCGGUAUUAUUAUUGUUAUUCUAAUUAUCAGCAAAAUGCUACUGAUAAUGUUGUCAUAAAAUUUCCUUUUAGUAUCCUAUUAAGAGAGAUCGACUAAGUAGUGGUUUAAGUUCAAUCUAGACCCUAAGUGGCAGCAUGAAGAUCUUCUUUGUGUGUUUGGGAAAAUACAUUCUGUGUAUAAUUACAGAAAUCACUAUGAGUUUGGCAAACAGGGCCUUAUGAGGAUAUAUAUGUCCGAAUGCGGCUGUGCAGCCAAACGCAUCUGUAGAUAAGCACACACCCACAGAUUGCUGUGCAGGACAGCGGUGGCAUUGGUGGAGUCCACGCACACGUCCUUUAGCAACAAGAAAUUUCUGCUUAGUGGCUGAGAGUAGAAGCUGCCUUUAAAGUUAGUGUAUGCGGGAGUUUUUGGUUCACCGCCAGGCCAUGCUUCUGUUUCACUGGCGUCUUUAGAGGGAACCCUUUCUUGAUAGUGCUCGGGAACUUCUAUGGCUGGCUGGGAGCAUCAACUUGCUCCUAGGGCCCAGGGCUCUCGCUCAGAAACUCACCGGAGGAGGCUGCACUCACUAUUAUUUGAUUCCUGACAGUUUAACAGAAGUGUGAUGAUGGCCACCCCAAAUCUGGGGAAACACUGCUUCAACAGCAGGAAAUAUAGCAGAAAGAUUCUCAGACUUCUGUGUGCAUAAUAAGCAGUGUUAAAGAAUGAAGGCCGGAGGCAAAAUUAACUAUGCAGUUAUUGUUGAGACUGUUCUCAGUUAUUAUUUUUUAAAUAUGAUUCCACAAACUCCAGUGUCUUUGUUUUCCCCACUCAGCUCUUGCUUACAUGAGCAGGGGACGGAGCAGUGCACAGCCCUGCUCUUGACAGGACUACAUUCUCCCUGUCUGCAGACCCACAAAGAAGCUGCUGCCACCGCCUCCAGUGCUCGCCACACCGGGGGAUGACACAGAUGACUGAUUAAACAAACAAAAAGUAAAGCACUUAAUUUAAUACCUGUGUGUGAGCAUAUUUAAAUAUCACAGUGCUGGCAUGAAUACAGGCUUAUGAAUACGUAAAGCAGCCAAAUGCUGAGCCUUGUUUAGAAUCAAAGCUAAAGGAUUGCUUUGAAUUGGAACAAAUAACAAUUUUUGACAAUGUAAAGGAGUGGAAAUAGCCACAAUGAAGUAAAGCCUUAUUUUUAACUUUUCCUUAUUUGUGUGUCAUCUCACAGCUGAAUAUAUUU